rnacentral:rRNA from 1 species
GUGCCAGCCGCCGCGGUAAAACGUAGGAGGCGAGCGUUAUCCGGAUUUACUGGGCGUAAAGCGCACGCAGGUGGCUUCGUAAGUCGGACAUGAAAGCUCCUGGCUUAACUGGGAGAGGUUGUUCGAUACUGCGGGGCUUGAGGUUGGGAGAGGGACGUGGAAUUCCCGGUGUAGUGGUGGAAUGCGUAGAUAUCGGGAGGAACACCAGUGGCGCAAGCGGCGUCCUGGCCCACACCUGACGCUGAGGUGCGAAAGCGUGGGGAGCAAACAGGAUUAGAUACCCCAGUAGUCC